rnacentral:tRNA from 2 species
GGUCCAGUAGCCAAGUGGUAAGGCAACGGUCUGCAAAACCGUUAUUCACCGGUUCGAAUCCGGUCUGGACCU